rnacentral:rRNA from 1 species
GACGAACGCUGGCGGCGUGCUUAACACAUGCAAGUCGAACGGAAAGGCCCUGCUUUUGUGGGGUGCUCGAGUGGCGAACGGGUGAGUAACACGUGAGUAACCUGCCCUUGACUUUGGGAUAACUUCAGGAAACGGGGGCUAAUACCGGAUAGGAGCUCCGGCGGCAUGUUGGGGGUGGGAAAGUUUCGGCGGUUGGGGAUGGACUCGCGGCUUAUCAGCUUGUUGGUGGGGUAGUGGCUUACCAAGGCUUUGACGGGUAGCCGGCCUGAGAGGGUGACCGGCCACAUUGGGACUGAGAUACGGCCCAGACUCCUACGGGAGGCAGCAGUGGGGAAUAUUGCACAAUGGGCGGAAGCCUGAUGCAGCAACGCCGCGUGCGGGAUGACGGCCUUCGGGUUGUAAACCGCUUUCGCCUGUGACGAAGCGUGAGUGACGGUAAUGGGUAAAGAAGCACCGGCUAACUACGUG